rnacentral:rRNA from 1 species
UACGUAGGGUGCAGGCGUUAAUCGGAAUUACUGGGCGUAAAGCGUGCGCAGGCGGUUGUGCAAGACAGAUGUGAAAUCCCCGGGCUCAACCUGGGAAUUGCAUUUGCGACUGCACGGCUAGAGUGUGUCAGAGGGGGGUAGAAUUCCACGUGUAGCAGUGAAAUGCGUAGAGAUGUGGAGGAAUACCGAUGGCGAAGGCAGCCCCCUGGGAUAACACUGACGCUCAUGCACGAAAGCGUGGGGAGCAAACAGG